rnacentral:rRNA from 1 species
UACGUAGGGGGCAAGCGUUGUCCGGAUUUAUUGGGCGUAAAGAGCGUGUAGGCGGUUAGGUAGGUCCGUUGUGAAAACUCGAGGCUCAACCUCGAGACGCCGAUGGAAACCAUCUAACUAGAGUCCGGAAGAGGAGUGUGGAAUUCCUGGUGUAGCGGUGAAAUGCGCAGAUAUCAGGAGGAACACCAAUGGCGAAGGCAGCACUUUGGGACGGUACUGACGCUGAGACGCGAAAGCGUGGGGAGCAAACAGG